GGGGGAGAAGGCGGCAGCCCUAAGUGGCUUUCACCCUAAUUAGCAGCCCCCUUGUUUCUCACCGGGUGCUGGAAAAUUCAUCCAUGCACGUCAAAUCUGCAGCAGCCAAGAGAUUCGUGGUGAAAACUGGCAUUUUGUCAAAAUCCUUGUUUUUUAAAGGAUGGUUUGAGCCCUUUACGUUUGUUUCAGGGCUCCCCAAAAGGCAAUUCUACCUCCUUUCUGGAGAAGAGAAGCUGCCAGAUGAAGCUACCCACAUCCGAACCUUCUGGUCCCUCACAGCUUCAUGUCCCCAGUAAUCUCACUGUCACUCAGAGACGUUUCUUCUGGCUCCAGGUGUUGAAGAUGAACGAAUUCCUGCCCCCAAAUACCUCUUGUUUUGUUAGGUGAUCUGGGUAUGGGUAGCAAGGCUGAGCCUGGCUAAGGAGGUGAUAUUCCUCCCUCUGCCACCAAGAUGUGCCCUUGCUCCAUCACUGCCGAAUGGAAGCUGGAUGGAGGGGGGAAAUCUCCAAAUCAAACCUCCCGGGAUGUGAGGAUUAAAUUUUGUCUGGCUCCCAGGGACAAUGUUGAUGGCACAACCCUGAGGACUGCCCAGCGCCCCUGCACCUCUCCUGGAUGUGCCGCUCUCCAUGUGAGGUGCUUUAGGGGAGCAUUUC
rnacentral:lncRNA from 12 species